rnacentral:rRNA from 1 species
UACGUAGGUGGCAAGCGUUGUCCGGAAUUAUUGGGCGUAAAGCGCGCGCAGGCGGCCUCUUAAGUCUGAUGUGAAAUCUUGCGGCUCAACCGCAAGCGGCCAUUGGAAACUGGGGGGCUUGAGUACAGAAGAGGAGAGUGGAAUUCCACGUGUAGCGGUGAAAUGCGUAGAUAUGUGGAGGAACACCAGUGGCGAAGGCGACACUCUGGUCUGUAACUGACGCUGAGGCGCGAAAGCGUGGGGAGCAAACAGG